GGAGAGGAGAGGAGAGAAAUAAAGAGAGGAGAGGAGAGGAGAGGAGAGAAAAUAAAGAGAGGAGAGGAGAGGAGAGGAGAGAGAGAAAAGGAGAGGAGAGGAGAGGAGAGAAGAGAAAAGGAGAGGAGAGGAGAGGAGAGGAGAGAAAUAAAGAGAGGAGAGGAGAGGAGAGGAGAGAAAAUGAGGAGAGGAGAGGAGAGGAGAGGAGAGAAGAGAAAAGGAGAGGAGAGGAGAGAAAUAAAGAGAGGAGAGGAGAGGAGAGGAGAGAAAUGAGGAGAGGAGAGGAGAGGAGAGGAGAGGAGAGGAGAGGAGAGAAAUAAAGAGAGGAGAGGAGAGGAGAGAAGAAAAAAAGGAGAGGAGAGGAGAGGAGAGGAGAGAAGAGAAAAGGAGAGGAGAGGAGAGGAGAGGAGAGGAGAGGAAAGGAGAGGAGAGGAGAGAAAUAAAGAGAGAAGAGAAGAGAAGAGAAGAGAAGAGAGAGAAGAGAAGAGAAGAGAAGAGAAGAGGAGAGGAGAGGAGAGAAAUAAAGAGAGGAGAGGAGAGGAGAGGAGAGGAGAGGAGAGAAAUGAGGAGAUAAUAAUUAACAGGUCUGAACUUUAAAAUGUCUACAGAUUAUUUACAGCUUCACUACCCCUCUCUUGCCUUGCAAAAACAAACAAACAAACAAAUAAAUAAAUAAAUAAAUAAUACAUCCAGUAUAAUUAUAUUUCAAAAACUUUUCUUCAGUGUAUGUUUAUGAUUUUAUAGAAAUAUAAUGACAUGCUACUAUUAAUCAAGAAAAACCGCUGUAGAUAUUUUUGGUUGUACAUUUAUAACUAUUAUGCAAUCGUACAAAACAUUCUUUGUUCAGUAGGUCACGUGUUUCCGCCCUUUGAACUAUGCGGGAAUGAGACGCACAAGCAGACGCUCAUCAUCACAAACAUGAGCUGAGAGAACAAAUCCAUCUACUGGUUCGAUCCAGUGCUGAGGGCUGUGAGGUGUCAGUGCUGUUCUGGAGAGUUAAUUAAACCCUGCUGCCCCUCAGUUCCUCGUCAGACGUGUCUCAGGGCUUCAGGCUCAGUAUUUACGAGGCAGCACGAGCGCCGGGCGAGAGACAGACAGAUUGCAGCUCCGCCGGCACGUGGAGGAAGACGAGAAACAGUAAAGGACAGCGAAAGAGAGGACGAUGCACUCCACAGACUGCAUCCACAAAGUGCCAAAAAGGACAACAGGAGAAAACGGAGCAACCCAAGACAAGAGCUGGAUCGUCCCGCAGAAGUAAGUGUGCCCAAAACACCUCGGAGGAAUUGCCACUUAAUUUCCAGAAGUUCAAGUCUAGGAGAACAAAGUUUACCAGGGCGACUGGAUGCUGCUUGUAGAAGGACAUGCGUGUUAUUCACAUGCACGUGAAUUACAGUUCAUUUUGUCUGUUUUUAAAUCUAAGUCAUGAGUUAAAUUCUGGUUAAAAAGGACACGAAUCACAGAUGAUUUGGGGGGAAUUGCAUG
rnacentral:lncRNA from 1 species